rfam:Triticum urartu cultivar G1812 contig1214491, whole genome shotgun sequence.
UACAUACUCCAUUCGACCGGAAAUACUUGUCAUCAAAAUGGAUAAAAGGAGAUGUAUCUAGAUGUAUUUUAGUUCUAGAUACAUCCCUUUUUGUCCAUUUUGAUGACAAGUAUUUUCGGACAGAGGGAGUAUAUG